CAGUGGGCGCCAAGGUCACCGAAUGGCGCAAGUUUGAAUGCUGGCGUGGCGGAACGCAGCGCUCAUUUAGCGCCAUUCAGAAUGAAGAAAGGAACCGGUCGCAGUAGUUCGCAACCAUUUCUGCAUUUCCUGGUCCCCUUUUAACCAAUACAAGUUCACAGGAUUCAAGAGACUACCCUGAAAGUAAUGGGCACAUGACAAAACACCACCCUGGACAGCAGGACACAUCUGCACUGAGACAAGAAUUGAGGGGCAUCAACUGGAAGAUGAUGUGUCACUUCUGCUCCACUCAAGGUUCAGCCCCUUCCGGGCAUCAUAUCCUGACAGAAUGUCAUCGGAUUACCUGCAGACCAAAGGGGGAGCAGACAGCACUACUGCAAGAUCUGUUUCUAUUAAUCACCGUGACAGUGUUGAUAAGGAUGGCACGCUGUUGUGUUUCCACCGUCUUAUUUUUAUUCAGUUUUGUUCAAAGAAGUGGCAAGUAAAUGGAUUUACCUGGUUAGAGCUGCAGACUUUCUUCAUCCAGUAAAUUGUUUAAAAUAAAAUAAAAUGACAGUCACAAAACAGUGAGUAUGUCCUUGCUAUUCGUAUACCUGGUCGACUCUAAAAGGUGGCAUUAUCACAAUAUUAUUGUUACUCCGGAACUGUUACCAUCAGCACACCUGCACUUCCAGUUUUGUGAAGCUGACUAAUGAUUUUCACAUUAGCACAAUUUUAUUUGAUAAGACCAGCUAUCUUGGAAUUAUACCAGUCCAAUUAUUUUCAGUGUGAUUUCACAGCGUGUGAUUGAAGCUCAUACUGAAUGUGCAGACAUAAAGCUUCUGAAUUCUGCACAGUUAUCCAGUUAUGAGAAUCUGGUAUACCACCUAAUUGGUGUCAAAUUCUGCAAAUAAUAAGUACUUUUAAUGGUACUAUGUAUUUUAUUUAUUCAUUAUUUGUGAAGAAAUUUAUGUUUACCAUUUGGCUCAUUAGGUUGUCACAAGUUUUUGAAAUCACUAGCUCUUUGGGGACACAAUCUCAGUUACCAAGGUCGUGUGAGUGUGCUUUGUGACGUUGUGUGUCUUUAGUACCAGUGCCACAUUAAAAGCCUGUCUGAGUUGUGCCUAAAGGUAAGGCAAAAUCCACGAGAGGGUCUUUCCUAGAUCAUUGCAGUUACCUAAACAUUUUUAGGUUUUUGGAUGGGGGCUACGUUUCCAUUUUUCAUUUCAGUAUUUGUUGAACCGUUUCUAGUUCUUUGUCAUCUGACCGGUGCUUGUUAUUUUUGACAGAUCACUACUAAGCAUCUCUGUUAUGAUUUGUUUCUUUUUAAUUUUUGCUCUAUCUUGUAUGGAUUUUUGGUAGCCUAUGGGAGUGUUUUGUAUGGGGAUUCAUUUUUAUCAUUGUUUUUUGGAUCUAAUGUCAUUUUUAACAGUGUUAAUUUUUGUUACUCUUUUAUUCUUGACUGUGACCUCUGUUAAUGGUGACAUCAUUGGAUAUGACAGUAUAAAUA